UAUAUAUGAUUGACUGACUAUUGAUAUGGAUUUAUAUAUGAUUGACUGACUAUUGAUAUGAACUAAUAUACGACUGACUGACUAUUUAUAUGGAUUUAUAUAUGAUUGACUGACUAUUGAUAUGGAUUUAUAUACGAUUGACUGACUAAUAUAUGAACGACUACAAAGAUUCGACAUCACGACAACCUAGUAUGUAAACUAAGGCUAUGAAAUAAGAGUGAGGAGUGAGGGUAUGAGAUAAUAAAGUAUAAGAGUGAAGGGAUAGUAGAUGAGACUGAAUUACUAGAUGAGACUGAGAGGUAGUAGACGAGAAAAGAGAGAAACUGAGAGGUACUAGAGGAAACUAAGGGGUAGCAGGGCCGUAGCCUCUGGGGGAAUGGAUGGGGGCAGCUGACCCCUAGCUUUUGGAGCAAAACAAAAUGAUUGACUUUAUGCCAAUGUUGUGCCCUAGUUUGUACCUAAUUGUACACAGCUCAUUCCCAAGUGAAAUAUUCUACAAUAAUUUAGAGUGUAUCUGUGGCAUGAUCGCGUUGAUGCAGUACAUAGACCAUGCGCGGAUUCAAAGGGGGAUGCAGCCGGUCUAAUUAAAUAAAUGUAUAUAUAUAUAUAUUCGUAUGUUCUGGUGUGUUUUCCUUCCCAACAAGCGUAAUUCUUUUAGGACAAAUUGCAUCUACGAUGAGGUUUAAUUU